rnacentral:rRNA from 1 species
CGUAGGGUGCGAGCGUUAAUCGGAAUUACUGGGCGUAAAGCGUGCGCAGGCGGUUUUGUAAGACAGAUGUGAAAUCCCCGGGCUCAACCUGGGACCUGCAUUUGUGACUGUAAGGCUAGAGUACGGUAGAGGGGGAUGGAAUUCCGCGUGUAGCAGUGAAAUGCGUAGAUAUGCGGAGGAACACCGAUGGCGAAGGCAAUCCCCUGGACCUGUACUGACGCUCAUGCACGAAAGCGUGGGGAGCAAACAGGAUUAGAUACCCUGGUAGUCCACGCCCUAAACGAUGUCAACUGGUUGUUGGGUCUUUACUGACUCAGUAACGAAGCUAACGCGUGAAGUUGACCGCCUGGGGAGUACGGCCGCAAGGUUG